rnacentral:tRNA from 1 species
GGUUCCAUGGUGUAAUGGUUAGCACUCUGGACUUUGAAUCUUAAUAAAGAUAAAAAAAAAAGCACUCUGGACUUUGAAUCCAGCGGUCCGAGUUCAAAUCUCGUUGGAACCU